rnacentral:rRNA from 1 species
CGCUGUGUGUUAGUUAUGUGUCACACGGGACUGCCGGUCUUAAGCCGGAGGAAGGUGGGGAUUGAUGUCAAGUCAGCAUGGCCUUUAUAUCCUGGGCUACACACACGCUACAAUGGCCAACACAAUAGGUUGCUAAGCCGCGAGGUGGCGCCAAUCCAUAAAGUUGGUCUCAGUUCAGAUUGUGGGCUGCAACCCGCCUGCAUGAAGAUGGAGUUGCUAGUAACCGCAGGUCAGCUAUACUGCGGUGAAUACGUUCCCGGGGCUU